rnacentral:sRNA from 1 species
GUAAGGACGUUCGACUAAAAAAACGGCACGUCCUGUGCCAACGUCGAACUGACCUGCAUCCUGCAG